UUUGCCACUGUGAAAUAAAAAUUAAAUAAUUUAUAACCACGUAGAUGGUUACCAUUAAUUAAUAAUAUUUAGGUUUUAAGAUUAAUUAUUUAAGAGGGAUUAGUUUGGUGAAACGUAAUCUCCAGAUGAUGACACGUCGUGGUGUAUUCACUGCAAAGAGUUGAAAAUCCAGUGAUGGCUUGGAUAAAAGAGCACUAGAAGUAUAAAACAGUUCAGUACCAUCAUUACUUCAACUAUAAAUAGAUAAGACAAAUAAAAAAAACAAAAAAACAAGUGAGUGUCUUUAUAUAGAAUUGACUGAAAUGACUUGUAGCCAGUCACUGGUAUUCACUGGUAUUAUUAAGCAGCAUCGGUACAAAGCAGUGAUUGGAGAAAACCAGCAGUUUCAACAGCUAUGUUAUCUUUCAGGACAUCCUGAUGUCUCUCUGUCUCCAUCUUCACAGUCUCCUCUUCCAUUUGAUUAAUCUUCUUUGUAUGUAGACUCAAAUAAUUUGUGACCUCAUAAUGAUCAACACGGCAGUGCUUCAGUUACACAGAAUCUUGGAAAUGUGAGGAUGCAAGAAAUGAAAUAAAACCAGCUGUCUGUGAUACCAACUAACAUGUUAACUCUUUAAGAAGAUGUAAACUUUUUAGAAGACGUGUCCAUGAAUCUGAUGAAGAACUACUGUACGUCUGCUGUACACAAGUUUGUUGAAGGAUUUCUUUAUUGUCUCUGUGCAGUCAAGCUGUUUAUGAAAUAUUACCCAUAAAUACAUUACAAGGAUAAAUAUGAACUUGUAUCUACACAAACAUCCACAACGAAUUCCACAGAAAAUGUGUAUAGCACAGAUAAAAACAUUACAAACUGCUCCUCUCAUUUGUUCCAUAAAGCUGCAGUAAAGGUCUGAUCAUCUCAUAAAUAUCGCAAAGUGCUUCACUACAGGAUGCUGUCAUGGUUCUCAAGAUCUGGAGAGGUUGUGGUGUGUGUCUUUUCUCCCACCAGGGCAGAAGUGGACCUUGCUUCCCCGCCUCUGAGCCCGCCCUCAACACACACCUGUGGCUCGUUAACACUGAUGCUGCUCUGGCUUCUCAUCACACGUAUUAUCCCUGGCAGACUACUUAAGACGGCAGGAGAGGCUGCUUCCUCACUGGAUCGUCACACUACCUAGCGCCUUCUGGAUUCCUGUGGAUGUGUGUGAGUGAGCAUGAGCAUUCUGGAUUGGACUAUCUGAGUGAGUUGUGGAUUGAGUAGAAGAGGAGUGUGUGUGCGCCUGCCUUGGACCUUCCCUCCCCUUCGGACCCCCUGGAGUCCUGUGUUAUCUGUCUCACUGUAUAUAUCCUCACUAGGUGCCACAUUGUAAAUAAAUCCUUCACCUUCUCUCUAAACUUCAGAGUCCUGUGAGUGAGUCAUCAGCCUAAUAAUCUGUGACAGAUACUAAGAAAUUAAAACAAAAAUUUACCCAAAAGCAAGUUUAAAAAGUUGAAUUUUUAGCUGCUUUUUUUUUUAAAAAAAAAGAAAAGGAAAAAAAAGAAUCCACAACAAACUCCUCACUGUUGUCUUACCUGCUGCUUUGACCCAUUCAGUGCCUCUGUUUCUUUUCCUUCCUUCACAGAAAUAAAAAAAGACAUAUAAAAAA